UACGAAGGGGGGCUAGCGUUGCUCGGAAUCACUGGGCGUAAAGCGCACGUAGGCGGCUUACUAAGUCAGGGGUGAAAUCCUGGAGUUCAACUCCAGAACUGCCUUUGAUACUGGUGAGCUUGAGUCCGGAAGAGGUGAGUGGAACUGCGAGUGUAGAGGUGAAAUUCGUAGAUAUUCGCAAGAACACCAGUGGCGAAGGCGGCCAACUGGUCCGGUACUGACGCUGGGGUGCGAAAGCGUGGGGAGCAAACAGG
rnacentral:rRNA from 1 species